UCCCCCUCAGGAUCACACCUGGAGAGUUUCCAGUACUCUACCAGUCAUGACAACAGGAAGGAGAGUCAAGCAGAGGCCUGUCCAUUCCAUUCCUAGCUUGGGCAGUGGCUAGUGAGUGGAAGGCUACCUGCUACAAGU